GAUAUGUUGCCCCAAGAUUUUCCCCCUGAAGUUACAGCAUUGAAACAAUAUCCUGCUUCUGCUGAAAGGUACUUUCAAACUCAAAAGACAGGGAGGAAGGAAGAAACACCCUUUUUUCUCCAUCGUGGAGGAAACUGACUGCUAACAUGCUGAGAGCAUUUUAAGGGGGAAAGAGAAGGGUUUCCACAGGAGAUGGCAAUGGAAGGUGAGAAGAGCUCUUCUCCCUCUUGAGACAAAGCUGGGAGCAGAUCCCACUUCCACCCAGCCCAAGUUGACAGAAGGGAGAGCCAGUAUCAUUAAGUCUGUACUGUUUUUAACUCUUCUUCCAGAUUCCAGUCUGCAUGUGCCGGCUGUGCAUCAAAUCCCACUCACGGAGCCCUUUUAACUUUUCCCCCGGAGGCCUUUGGAAGCCACCUUGCAGCAUCAUUUCUACUGUCAUCUCUCCUUCAAUUGUCACGCUUCCAAUCACACCUGUCAGGGAGGGACACCCCUUGAGACCAGAUCUGGACCUGGUUGGAGGGAAAUUCACAACAUGAACACAAUGGAGUAGGAAUGGAAAACUACAGCCCCAGCGCCUUGAGUAUUUUUGUUUUGUUUUGCUUUUAAAUUAUAAUCCUUGAGCUGCUUGUUGUACAUCCAUGGGAUCCAGAGCCAGGCAGUGGUUUCUGAUGCCUUCAUGAGUGGCAUUUAUUUAAAAUUGUCAUUUUCUGGAAGUUUGUUGCUCGUCUAUGGAAAUAAAAUUGAUUUUUAAGCUGA